rnacentral:rRNA from 1 species
AGAGUUUGAUCCUGGCUCAGAACGAACGCUGGCGGCGUGCCUAACACAUGCAAGUCGAACGAGAUAGGGGGGGCAACCCCCCGAGUACAGUGGCGCACGGGUGAGUAAUACGUAGGUAACCAACCCCUGGAACCGGGAUAACCCGAGGAAACCCGGGCUAAUACCGGAUAAGACUUCAGGAGCUACGGCUCUUGCUGUAAAAGGUGGCCUCUGACAUAAGCUGCCAUCUGGGGACGGGCCUGCGGCCCAUUAGCUAGUUGGUGAGGUAAUGGCUCACCAAGGCAGUGAUGGGUAGCUGGUCUGAGAGGAUGAUCAGCCACACUGGGACUGAAACACGGCCCAGACUCCUACGGGAGGCAGCAGUGGGGAAUUUUGCGCAAUGGGCGAAAGCCUGACGCAGCAACGCCGCGUGGGUGACGAAGGCCUUCGGGUCGUAAAGCCCUGUCAGGUGGGACGAAAAACCCAAGGCGAAUAGCCGAGGGGAAUGACGGUACUACCAAAGGAAGCACCGGCUAACUCCGUGCCAGCAGCCGCGGUAAUACGGAGGGUGCAAGCGUUGUUCGGAAUUACUGGGCGUAAAGGGCGUGUAGGCGGCCGAGCAAGUCGAGCGUGAAAGCUCCCGGCUCAACCGGGAAAGUGCGUUCGAGACUACGCGGCUUGAGUACUGGAGAGGGAGGUGGAAUUCCCGGUGUAGAGGUGAAAUUCGUAGAUAUCGGGAGGAACACCGGUGGCGAAGGCGGCCUCCUGGACAGAUACUGACGCUGAGACGCGAAAGCGUGGGUAGCAAACAGGAUUAGAUACCCUGGUAGUCCACGCCGUAAACGUUGGGUACUAGGUGUGGCGGGUGUUAACCCCUGCCGUGCCGAAGCUAACGCAUUAAGUGCCCCGCCUGGGGAGUACGGUCGCAAGGCUAAAACUCAAAGGAAUUGACGGGGACCCGCACAAGCGGAGGAGCAUGUGGUUUAAUUCGACGCAACGCGAAGAACCUUACCUGGGUUUGACAUCCCCGGACCUACUCGGAGACGAGGAUUUCCCUUCGGGGACCGGGUGACAGGUGCUGCAUGGCUGUCGUCAGCUCGUGUCGUGAGAUGUUGGGUUAAGUCCCGCAACGAGCGCAACCCUCGCCCUUAGUUGCCAGCGGUUCGGCCGGGCACUCUAAGGGGACUGCCCAGGUCAACUGGGAGGAAGGCGAGGAUGACGUCAAGUCCUCAUGGCCCUUACGCCCAGGGCUACACACGUGCUACAAUGGUCGGUACAGAGGGCUACGAACCCGCGAGGGGGAGCUAAUCUCAGAAAGCCGGCCUCAGUUCGGAUUGGAGUCUGCAACUCGACUCCAUGAAGUCGGAAUCGCUAGUAAUCGCGGAUCAGCAGGCCGCGGUGAAUACGUUCCCGGGCCUUGUACACACCGCCCGUCACACCACGGAAGUCGAUUGUACCAGAAGUCGCUGGACCAACCCGCAAGGGAGGUAGGCGCCGAAGGUAUGGUCGGUGACUGGGGCGAAGUCGUAACAAGGUA